rnacentral:rRNA from 1 species
GCCUAACCAUAACACGGCAACACUAUAGUUGCUCGCCAAACCACUACGAGUGAAAACUUAAAACUUAAAGGACUUGACGGUACUUCACCCAACCUAGAGGAGCCUGUCUAAUAACCGAUAACCCACGAUUAAUCCAACCACUUCUAGCCACCCAGUCUAUAUACCGCCGUCGCCAGCUCACCUUGCAAAAGAAACAAAGUGAACCAAAUAGUCAUACACUAACACGACAGGUCGAGGUGUAACUAAUGAAAUGGACUAUGAUGGGCUACAUUUUCUAAUACAGACCAUACGAAUAAAGACAUGAAACUUUCUUUUGAAGGUGGAUUUAGCAGUAAGAUGAGAACACAAUACUCAACUGAAACCAUUGCAAUGAAGUGCGUACACACCGCCCGUCAUCCCUGUCACCAAAAAGCAAAUCAACAUAUAAAAUACUUACAACAACAAAACAGGGCAAGUCGUAACAUGGUAAGCGUACUGGAAAGUGCGCUUAGAAA